GAGGUAGAGCAAAUCUCAAAAAAACAAUCUCAGUUCAGACUGCAGGCUGCAACUCGCCUGCACGAAGUCGGAAUUGCUAGUAAUCGUAGGUCAGCAUACUACGGUGAAUACGUUCCCGGGCCUUGUACACACCGCCCGUCAAACCAUGAGAGUUGGCAACACCCGAAGUCGGUAGUCUAACCGCAAGGAGGACGCCGCCGAAGGUGGGGUUGAUGAUUAGGGUUAAGUCGUAACAAGGUAGC
rnacentral:rRNA from 1 species